ACAACAGUUGUGUUUACGUCGUUUCUUGUGUGCGCGGUUCACGGGCGGUUGCAUUCCUUAUUAACCGGAGGCUCGCAAAAGCACGAAGGCAGAAUUGAGUUUGCUUAAUUGACGACGGGUAAUCUGGAGAUUUAUGCGAAUCUGCACCUCGGAAUAAUCUAAUAGCCAGGUUUUUGUAUCUGAAAGGUUGGUCAUACGAAUUAGCAACUGUACUUAGGCAUUGAAGAAUAAUUCCGAGGACGAUGUGAACGCUCGAGGUUCAUAUCUAGAUUGGCCGGUUGUCAGAACAUGCUGGACAUUGGAAGUCGGUCGUUUCAAGGAUAAUUACAUUUCAGAG
rnacentral:lncRNA from 1 species